rnacentral:tRNA from 1 species
GCGGGAGUAACUCAGCGGUAGAGUGCCUGCCUUCCAAGCAGGUGGUCGCGGGUCCGAAUCCCGUCUCCCGCUCCA